rnacentral:rRNA from 1 species
UGGGGAAUCUUGCGCAAUGGGCGAAAGCCUGACGCAGCGACGCCGCGUGAGGGAUGAAGGCCCUCGGGUUGUAAACCUCUUUCGGCGGGGACGAAGCGAACGUGACGGUACCCGCAGAAGAAGCCCCGGCUAACUACGUGCCAGCAGCCGCGGUAAGACGUAGGGGGCGAGCGUUGUCCGGAUUCAUUGGGCGUAAAGCGCGCGUAGGCGGUUCGGAAAGUCGGAUGUGAAAACCCGGAGCUCAACUCCGGGCCUGCAUCCGAUACUCCCGGACUAGAGGUAGGUAGGGGAGAUCGGAAUUCCUGGUGUAGCGGUGAAAUGCGCAGAUAUCAGGAGGAACACCGGUGGCGAAGGCGGAUCUCUGGGCCUUACCUGACGCUCAGGCGCGAAAGCUAGGGGAGCGAACAG